AUACAGAGGGUGCGAGCGUUAAUCGGAAUUACUGGGCGUAAAGCGCGCGUAGGCGGCUUGGUCAGUCGGAUGUGAAAGCCCCGGGCUCAACCUGGGAAUGGCAUUCGAUAUUGCCAGGCUAGAGUAUGGGAGAGGGAAGUGGAAUUUCCGGUGUAGCGGUGAAAUGCGUAGAUAUCGGAAAGAACACCAGUGGCGAAGGCGACUUCCUGGCCCAAUACUGACGCUGAGGUGCGAAAGCGUGGGGAGCGAACAGGAUUAGAAACCCUAGUAGUCC
rnacentral:rRNA from 1 species